AUGAACGCUGGCGGCGUGCCUAAUACAUGCAAGUCGAGCGAACAGAUGAGGAGCUUGCUCCUCUGACGUUAGCGGCGGACGGGUGAGUAACAUGUGGAUAACCUACCUAUAAGACUGGGAUAACUUCGGGAAACCGGAGCUAAUACCGGAUAAUAUAUUGAACCGCAUGGUUCAAUAGUGAAAGACGGUUUUGCUGUCACUUAUAGAUGGAUCCGCGCCGCAUUAGCUAGUUGGUAAGGUAACGGCUUACCAAGGCAACGAUGCGUAGCCGACCUGAGAGGGUGAUCGGCCACACUGGAACUGAGACACGGUCCAGACUCCUACGGGAGGCAGCAGUAGGGAAUCUUCCGCAAUGGGCGAAAGCCUGACGGAGCAACGCCGCGUGAGUGAUGAAGGUCUUCGGAUCGUAAAACUCUGUUAUUAGGGAAGAACAAAUGUGUAAGUAACUAUGCACGUCUUGACGGUACCUAAUCAGAAAGCCACGGCUAACUACGUG
rnacentral:rRNA from 1 species